GCCAAACAGAGAGAGAGAGAGAGAGAGAGGUUCUGCCAUUGUGGCAGCGACACGAGCUGUACUGAGCAGCAGCUUGUGUAGGCUGGUAAAAUGUGGGUGAUAGAGAAAGACGAGACACUUGCAAGAGAGUGUGGGUAUGAGGUUUGGUCUUUGUCCUCCAUUAUUAUUGUAAAUUGUGGUGUUUCUCCUGUUCAUUAAUACUGUCUAUUUCAUGGAUAUAAGCAAAUUACUGAACAUAUUAAAUUUUUUGUGCUUAGUUUCUGGGCAAAAAUCAAUAGGAUUGUCUAUGGUAUUAGAACUUUGAAGUUACUAAUAAAGUGGCAUCGAAGCUUCGGUAUUCCCAACACCACGGAGAUGUUUAAUAUCUUAUAUGGAUUGAAAGGAAAAGAUUUAGAAAGUUUGUAAGCUUCAAGCACCAUAAUUUCAUUUUAAAAACUUUUUUUUUAAAAAAAAAAAUAUACUAGAAAAUCAAGAGUUUAAGGUGAAACAAUACUUUGAAAUGGUUAGUCAGGUGCAAAUUUAUAGCAAUAUCAUCAAUAAUCAUAUUAAAUUAAUUUUUUAUGAUUGGAACAAAUGAGUUAUGUGAUCUCUAUAAGCUCCUAAACCUCUUGACUAAGCUACAUGGUACUUAAUAUAUCUUUCACUUUCCUUGGCACUCUAUGGUAGUAUUUACUUUUUAAAAUAAUUUUUCAUUUAAAAUAAUAUUAAAUUAAUUUUUUAAAUAUUUUUUUGAUUAUUUUGAUAUGUUAUUGUUAAAAAUAAAAAUAAAAUAUAAAAAUUAUUAUUUUGAUAUAUUUUUAAUUAAUAAAUAUUUUUUAAAAGUAGUCUACAUAAAAAAUAUUUAAGAAACUUUUAAACUUCAAAUAUCAUCUAUCUCCAAAAGAUGAUAUUUUCAUCUUCAAAUCUAAUAUACAAAACCUAUUUAUUUUUGUGUUUUAAAUUAAAAUGUUUUUGAAAAAAAAUAUUUUUUUAAUUUAAAAUUAAUAUUUUUUAGUGUUUUUAGAUCAUUUUGAUAUAUUUAUAUCAAAAAUCAAAAUGAAUUUUAAAAAAUAAAAAACAUUAUUUUAAUAUAUUUUUAAGUAAAAAAUACUAUGAAAAAAAUCAUAAUAACAAACGAGCCCCGAAGAAAUGCAAUUUUAGUAGCUUUGUCUUCAACUUUUGAUAAGUUGGAUUAUCCUAUAUAUGUUGUACCUCAUCAAAUUUAUAUUGAAAUCUAAGCUUUAGGAAAAUGAUUAAUUUUUUCUUCAACUUUCUUUACCAAAAUAUCGUUCUACAUGGUUGGAUCCCACGUGAACAGUAUUCCCUCCCUAAUCUUUUAUUUUUAAAGUCUAUUGAACUAAAUUAAUCCUUGAGCUAGCUCUUCCUUUUUCAUGUUUCCUUCCAAUGCCAAUGAAUGAAAGUUAUGAACGAACAAAUUAGAACUUAUGAAAUAAUUCUUUAAGUUAAAUAAUUUAUGAACAAGUUUGCUAUGGCAAGGAACAGAGAUGGAAAAGUCAACUGAUACUAGUUAGUGAGAACUACUCAUUUAACACGCGCUUUGUUGUGGGUUAUACUUUUUUUUUUAAAAAAAUAUUAGGUAUACAAGUUGUUUUAAUGUGUUUUUUUAUAUAAAAAAAUUUAAAGUGUAAAUUAAAAAGUCUAAGUAAGCAAGAUCAAGAUAUUCUAUGAGACAUGCAUUUAAUUGUAUUUACUGAACUUAUUUAUUUAAAUAACUAAAGAUAAAUCCACACUCUAAAAAAUUCAUGAAUAAAAAGAUAAAUACAAAUAAAAUUGACUGAAUAAACCUACGAUAUAAAAAAUAUUAUGCAAGGCAAACACAUUAGCAAUACAAUUUAAAAACGAAUAUUUUUUAUUUUAAAAAAUAAACUUCAUCUGUAAAAAAAAUUAUAGAUGAAUUAGAAUAAUAUUUUGAAAAAUGAAAUAGAAACAAAACACCUAAAAAAACUUAUAUUAAAAAAGACAUGUAAAAAUCAUGACCUAGAUCAUGAGAUCCGGAUAAACCCAUAGAAAAAACUUGAAGAUAAUUACAUAACUAAUAUUAAAAAAAAAACUAAUAUUGAACAAUAAGAUCAUAUAAAGCUAAAUUCCCAACAAAUUAAAUGUUGAAAAAUGAAAUCAUGAAAAAAAUAAUUAUACAAAAGGAUUAAAAAAAUAAGGGUAAGAAAAAACAUUAAUUAGAGGGAUAAAAAUUUUCAAUUGGAGGGUUUAAUUGAAUUGAAAAAUAGCUUUAAUAAAAUAAAAAAAUAAAAAGAAUAAGAGUCAAACUGAAAAAAUUAAAACAAUAAAAAAUUUGAUUGAAUAAUGAAAUUGAAUGAAAAAGAACUUCAACAAAAGUGUUAAUGACACAAUUAGAAAUUAAAAAAAAAAUGAGGACUGGAAUAAAAAACAGAACAUAUGAGAAAUUGCAAUUAAAAGACUAAAUUAAAAAGAAUAUAAACUUCUAUAAAUGAAAAAGGAAUGAAAUAAGAAAUUAAUAGAAUGAAGGCUGAAAUUAAAAAGUAAGAAAAAAAGGACAAUGAAGUACUUUACAUGCCAAGAGAGAGAGAAAAAUCAAACGAUCAUUAGUGACAAUUCGACCAUCGUAAGCUAUCACACACCACUCCAAAUGGAAAAGAAUAUGAUGACACAUUUAGAGAGAUGAUAAAAGGUCAGUUAUGUCCACUGGGUAGCGUUACACGCACCGCCUGAAUGGUGUGGAUGCCACCCACGCGCCAGAACAUGUCGAGCACGCUCCAGCAGCUUUAAGCAUUACAAAAUUUGAAAAAAUUAUGAAAAUACUGAAAUGCCCCCACGACCUCGACAAUUACAUAAAAUACAUAUGUGGAAGUACAAAAUACCCAUAAAUGCUAAGCUUAUGUUUUGUCUCUUUCAAAGUUAAAGAUGUAAUUUCACUGUACAUUUAAAAUUGAAAACCUCAAAAUACUUUUAUCUAACAACACAAUAUUUUUUUGAUCCCGGAGGUAAAUAUAUAUUUUAUUGUUAAGAAGCUUUUGCUAAGUUAAGAAAAUUAUUAGUAAAUAAUUUUAUAUUUUGUUGAUUUUAGAGACCAAAUAAUAUUUUUAUUAUGAAAAAAAAAGUAUCAUUGCCCCCACCAAGAAGCUUAAUUGUUUUGGACCAAAGGAUGCAAGGAUAAUUUUACUGCAGGCGAAGAUAUAUUUUAUUGUAGAUUGAACUCCAGCAAAACAACCACACUAUUUAAUGUUUUAGGUAGUUUGAUUUUUCAAGAAAAAGAUUAUUAAAUGCUUAAUUCUAGCUCCAAGACCAAUAAAAAUCUCAAUAGUCAAAAUACAUGCAUGGUGAUUGGAUCGAGAGCAAACAUAACACGGCGAGGGAAGUCGAAAUUACCUGCACCAGGAGUAAUGCAAACAAGGCCAGUUAUCAUGCCCUGAACAGCACCGAUGACAGAAGGUUUCUUGAAGAAAAUGACAUCUAGCCAGGUCCAUACAAGAAGACUAGUAGCUGCGCAAAUGUUAGUGUUAAGAACGGCCAUGGAAGAGUCAAUAUUGGCAGUGUAUGGAUCUCCGCCGUUGAAGCCAGCCCAUCCCAUCCACAGCAGCCCUGCCCCUGCUAACAUUAGCAGUACAUUGUUUGGUGGAAAUCUCUCUCUAUCCUUUGAUGAUCUUGGACCUACCUGCAUCAGUUAACUUGAGAAAUUUCUCACCACCAAUCUUUUGAAAGAUUCUCUCCUCACGUCAUGGAAGAAAUCUUAAGAACAAAACAAAACUAUUACGUUCUUGUUCUUAGUCAGCUCCAAUAAUCUGACAAAAAUAUCAAUUCUAAAAUUAUUUGUUAUACUAGUGAUUCAUUUCUUGUCAUGGGUAAAAACUAAUUAAGAGUUGGUUUGUUAUUGUAUUUUAAA